ensembl:lncRNA
AGAUUUUAUGCCCAACAGGAGAACUACAGAAGGAGGUUACACACAAGAUUUGGCCAGGAGACUGGGUCUGGGUCCAAUCACUAAAGAUAACGGACUGGAAGCAGCCACGGUGGGAGGGGCCAUACCAAGUGCUCCUGGUGACAGCCUUCGCGGACUCUGGAAAGGUCGAUGACGCAAUGGUGAGAUACGGACCGAUUCCGAGCUUUGGCCAGUGGGAUGAUGAAUACAUGCCUCCAAACCUAGUAGAUGAUUCUGGUUCCUUCACUUACGAGGUGCCCAUGUUGGAUGAGACCAUUUUUAAUGUUUAGGCUGUUUUCUAAUGAAGAUUAUUUUAAAAAUCCUGAAAAGAAGAGUUAUAAUUUAAUGUAGGCCUAGGACAGCCAUGGAUGAGUAUGAGAUGUAAAUACAUAUAUUGGUUUUGUGUGACUGAUUUUGUGACUUUUAUAAUUCCAAUAAAAAUAGAUGUGUAAUCGUGUGUAUAUAAUAUUUAGUCA